AGUGAACGCUGGCGGUAGGCCUAACACAUGCAAGUCGAACGGCAGCACAGUAAGAGCUUGCUCUUACGGGUGGCGAGUGGCGGACGGGUGAGGAAUACAUCGGAAUCUACUUUUUCGUGGGGGAUAACGUAGGGAAACUUACGCUAAUACCGCAUACGACCUACGGGUGAAAGCAGGGGAUCUUCGGACCUUGCGCGAUUGAAUGAGGCGAUGUCGGAUUAGCUAGUUGGCGGGGUAAAGGCCCACCAAGGCGACGAUCCGUAGCUGGUCUGAGAGGAUGAUCAGCCACACUGGAACUGAGACACGGUCCAGACUCCUACGGGAGGCAGCAGUGGGGAAUAUUGGACAAUGGGCGCAAGCCUGAUCCAGCCAUACCGCGUGGGUGAAGAAGGCCUUCGGGUUGUAAAGCCCUUUUGUUGGGAAAGAAAAGCAGCAGGUUAAUACCCCGCUGUCCUGACGGUACCCAAAGAAUAAGCACCGGCUAACUUCGUG
rnacentral:rRNA from 1 species